UUUUUAUUUUCCUGCCCUCAGAGCCCUGGUCUGCCGAGAAGGUUCAGUCGCAGCAGCUCGACCAGCGGGCUGGAAACCUCACAUCCCCGAGCAGGGCUCGCAGCUCGCUCAGCUUGGAACAGGAUUUUUUUUUUUUCCCCCUCCCUCCAGCUGAAACCUCGCAGAAAACUCCCCCUGCGGUCGACUGGAAAAUGAGCUCACCCAAAUCUCGGUAGGCAGCCGGGGAGGAGGGCUCGGCCAAUCAGGAGGCGCUCCCGCCAAGGCGGCCGCGCAUUGGCUGCGGGGAAAAUCAAUUAUCAAAUAAUCGAUCAGCAGGGAGCUUCGAUCUGCCGGGAAUGCAAACUGCCAGUCCUGAUUCCCGCCCUGAUGGUGGCCAAAAGGCUGACUCCCCCAAAGUAGAGGGCCCCUCACUCCCGGCACCCCUACCCUCAUUACACUCCACCAGUUGCCGACCCACCUUCACCCCAAAGGUGGGGGGUAGGGAGGGGGGUUAGGUAAGGGGAAGAGUUUUGAGAAAGAUUGGGUGCUCCUAUCCGCGAAGGUUGUUUAGAAAAGAAUAGGAGCCCUAAAAUGUACUGAAGUCAACUCUUAAUGCGCAAACCAAAAGAUAAUUUGCAUCGGUCCGACAAAUAGGGCUUAAGGUUCUGUUAAGUGAGCUUUUGAGAAACUGGGGACACAGAGCGAGCAUCAGAACUUAGAUCUGGAAUCAGGUUCCACCAAGCGCACGUACUUCCUUAAGUGACAAGUAUUGCUUCUUUUAAUACUUCGCGGGAGUCAACGCCCACCUCCCCCUAAUAGUGGGGUUUUCAAAAAGCCCAGUAUCUGAGCCUUGCCAGCCUUCAGCCCCGACACUGUACUCGUCUCAUGUGUGCCCAAAGGCACACGUACACCCCAAACCUUCAGAUGCUUUUUGCCUUAAAAGAGCUCCGACUGUUUAAAAAACUCAUCCUAGAAUCCCUCAUCAUUUGCAUGUCUUCUCUCUUCCUUUCUCCCCCACUCCCCAAGUUUUCAGAUCUCUUCCUUUUCUCCAUCGCAUCCAAGUGUUGUUUUCGGGGACAAACGCCCGGAUACAUCACUCGGGAGGUUAAGGCAGGCCCGCGUGUUAAAGCCGAGGAGAUCCAGGUGAAUUACCAACUUUAUGCCUGACCUCCCCCUCCCCCCGCCGCCCCUUCCUUCCCCAACAUGAACUUGGAAACAACUCAGGCCAAGAUGGAACCUCCUUGUCUCAGAAAAGCGAUUUCUCUGUUUAAUUCUCGGGAAACUGAGCUGACUGGGCCAGGCAACGCAAUCCUUUUCCGAUUACAGAAAGGAUCAAACUGGGCCGACCGCCUGCAAGCUCUUCCCGGAACUACAGCCAGCUGCGGCCAACACCUGAGUGCCUUCCGACGGCUGCUUUCUGGGGUUUGAGCUCCAUCUCUCCAGCAGGGCCACCAGGCAUCGGCGCGGCUGGAGGUAGUGGGGGCGGGGGCGCCGUCAAGCCAAGCAUCGACAGGGGCGCAGCUACAUUUAUGAUCCUAAAAUGAACUGCAAAGGAAAUUGUGAAGAGUAACAGCAGAAGCCAGAUCCUCCUGACCCCCACUCUCAGCUGGUAGCAAGACAUACCUGACAGUGCUAAACUCUGACUGCAGGGAAGCUGAUGGGGCGGUGUGAUCCAUUAAGGGAAGAAAAACCCCAAAGGCCCUUCUAGAGUGUCAUUUCCAUGGAAUCUACAUGAAGCUAAACAUAUGUCACACUGAUAUUUCCAGCUCUAAUCCAUUACCACAUAGACCAUUCUGGCCUCCUCCUUUGUUCAUCUGUAAACUCCUACUCCAACAACGAUUCCACAUAAAAAGCGAUGUCAUAUAGGAGUUCUCGUCGCGGCUCAGGGGAAACAAAUCUGACCAGCAUCCAGGUUCCAUCCCUGGCCUCAUCCAGCGGUUAAG